GAGGGUAGCUUGGUGGUAGAGCACAUGCUUAGUAUGCAUGAGGUCCAGGGUUCAACCCCCAGUACCUCCG
rnacentral:tRNA from 1 species